UGUCCUUAUUUGCCAGCACGUAAUGGUGGGAACUCUAAGGAGACUGCCGGUGACAAACCGGAGGAAGGUGGGGACGACGUCAAGUCAUCAUGCCCCUUAUGACCAGGGCUACACACGUGCUACAAUGGGACGUACAGAGGGUUGCUAAGCCGCGAGGUGGAGCCAAUCCCAGAAAACGUUUCGUAGUCCGGAUCGAAGUCUGCAACUCGACUUCGUAAGUCGGAAUCGCUAGUAAUCGCGAAUCAGCAUGUCGCGGUGAAUACGUUC
rnacentral:rRNA from 1 species